GCUUCCUACGGGAGGCAGCAGUGGGGAAUUUUGGACAAUGGGCGCAAGCCUGAUCCAGCAAUGCCGCGUGAGUGAAGAAGGCCUUCGGGUUGUAAAGCUCUUUUGUCAGGGAAGAAACGGCCGCGGCUAAUAUCCGCGGCUAAUGACGGUACCUGAAGAAUAAGCACCGGCUAACUACGUGCCAGCAGCCGCGGUAAUACGUAGGGUGCAAGCGUUAAUCGGAAUUACUGGGCGUAAAGCGUGCGCAGGCGGUUUUGUAAGUCUGACGUGAAAUCCCCGGGCUCAACCUGGGAAUUGCGUUGGAGACUGCAAGGCUGGGGUCUGGCAGAGGGGGGUAGAAUUCCACGUGUAGCAGUGAAAUGCGUAGAGAUGUGGAGGAACACCGAUGGCGAAGGCAGCCCCCUGGGCCAAGACUGACGCUCAUGCACGAAAGCGUGGGGAGCAAACAGGAUUAGAUACCCUGGUAGUCCACGCCCUAAACGAUGUCUACUAGUUGUCGGGUCUUAAUUGACUUGGUAACGCAGCUAACGCGUGAAGUAGACCGCCUGGGGAGUACGGUCGCAAGAUUAAAACUCAAAGGAAUUGACGGAAGCCG
rnacentral:rRNA from 1 species